rnacentral:ncRNA from 1 species
UAUCCUAUUCGUUCAGGAUAUCCCUACUGCAGCAUGCGUUUCUGGCAACGGAUUCGUGUGAAGCCUGUGGGACAAAGUGGAAAAGAUCAGCAACCUAAUCUGAUCAAUCUGCAAGGGAAAGGUCGCCAUGGAGAAACGAAAGUUG